rnacentral:rRNA from 1 species
CCUACGGGAGGCAGCAGUGGGGAAUAUUGCACAAUGGGGGAAACCCUGAUGCAGCAACGCCGCGUGAGUGAAGAAGUAUUUCGGUAUGUAAAGCUCUAUCAGCAGGGAAGAGAAUGACGGUACCUGACUACGAAGCCCCGGCUAACUACGGGACAGCAGCCGCGGUAAUACGUAGGGGGCGAGAGUGAGCCGGUUUUACUGGUUGUAAAGGGAACGGAGACGGGUCUGCUAGGCAGAAGGGAAAGCCCCUGGCUUAACCGGGGAACGGCUUUGGAAACUGUGGAACUGGAGUGCUGGAGAGGCAAGCGGAAUUCCUGGUGUAGCGGUGAAAGGCGUAGAUAUUAGGAGGAACACCAGUGGCGAAGGCGGCUUGCUGGACAGUAACUGACGUUGAGGCUCGAAAGCGUGGGGAGCAAACAGGAUUAGAUACCCUGGUAGUC